AGUAAAAUGGCGCUAAGGCGGCAAAUGAGCGUUUCUCUUCCCCCCACCCCUUCGUAUCCCCUACCCCUUCGCGUCUGCGACUGAAGAGGGAGAGGGAGAAAGCUCUUCAGUCUUCAAAUCCACGAUCCAUCUCUUCGCGGUUCGCAAGCAGAUACAAAUCCGAAGCGUUAAAGAGAGAGAGAGAGAGAGAGAGAGAGAGAGAGAGAGAGAGAGCUAUUCAGUCUUCGAAUCUACGAUCCACCUCUCGCGGCUCGCAAGUAGAUUCAAAUCCAAAAGAUAUUUCUUGAAUUACUGGAGAGAUGAAAGCUCCUACUUACACUUGGUGCUCAGUUCGCAGUCGGCUCACAUUCUUAAGCUUGGGAGUUGGUAAUGAUGCAGCUUCUGGUGUUAGAGAGACUAAGGCUUUUGACAU